ACUAUUCUUCCAUCAAGGGUAUACAAGUAGCUGUGCUCCCCUGCUAGAACCUCCAAACAAGCUCUCAAAUGGAAUUUCAAAGGGCCUAUAUUGUUUACC
rnacentral:sRNA from 1 species